AAUGUGAGCAAAGCCAUCCCAAUUAUCUUUUAUUUAUAGAAUGUGAUGAUGCCAUUAGAUGACAGUAGUCGUCAAAAUCAUGUAAGAUGAAUAAAAUCAGUGUACAUUAGUGUGUCCCAAGCUAUAAGUAAAACAUUUUUUUUUGAUACGCAUACCCUUUAUAUUUAUUCGGUUUGACCACAAAAGCCUAAAUAAUAAAUAUUAUAGUAAUACAUUAAUGUCAUCACGUGCUGACUUGACUUCAAAGUCGUGAAUUAGGAAUUAGUAUGGAAAUAAAAUCUAACUUAGUCUUAAUUUAGGAUUAGUAAAGAAAACAAUCAAUAAUAAUUUUUGCUUCAAGAAAUAAAGAAUUAUUACACCACGAAGCAGGGCUCUCUCCGAGAAAACUAUCAUCAAUGUUCAAACGAGAGAAAGACUUGCUUGAAGCUGAUGUAAAAACAUCAAUUUUUUUCUCAUACAACGAUCUGUCUAAUUCUUCUUUUGAAGGCUCACCUCAUCGUCAAAAAGCGAUAACACAGAUACUUCCUCGGUCAAAUACCAUAAAUGCUAAGUAAACUUCUUCAACACUG